AGACGACGCUGGCGGCGUGCUUAACACAUGCAAGUCGAACGGUGACGGAGAGCUUGCUCUCCUGAUCAGUGGCGAACGGGUGAGUAACACGUGGGCAACCUGCCCCAGACUUCGGGAUAACGCUUCGAAAGAGGUGCUAAUACCGAAUACGAACGCCGUGGGCAUCCACGGUGUUGGAAAGUUUUUCGGUCUGGGAUGGGCCCGCGGCCUAUCAGCUUGUUGGUGAGGUAAUGGGCUCACCCAAGGCGACGACGGGUAGCCGGCCUGAGAGGGCGACCGGCCACACUGGGACUGAGACACGGCCCAGACUCCUACGGGAGGCAGCAGUGGGGAAUAUUGCGCAAUGGGCGAAAGCCUGACGCAGCAACGCCGCGUGGGGGAUGAAGGCCUUCGGGUUGUAAACCUCUUUCAGCAGGGAAGAAGCGAAAGUGACGGUACCUGCAGAAGAAGCACCGGCUAACUACGUG
rnacentral:rRNA from 1 species